UGCGGGCACCCCGGAUCGGGGCCGCGGGGGCACGGAGCCGCUGCGGAGCCCCCUGGCUCUGGGUUUCUUCCCGCACAGCCCGCCAGGGCCGCCCCUCACCCCGCUCUCUCCCUCCGCGCCCCGGCGGCAGGACUCGCCUCAGGGCGGCGCGCGGCCCGCACCCUCCCGCGCAGGCGCGCGCCGCCGCCGCUCCCGCGCUUGUCCCUCGCGCGCCGCCGUAGGAGGAAGCCGAGCGCGCGGGGGGGCCGCGGCGUGAGGGGCCCGUAGGCCGUGGCUGGUGGGAGAAGUCCGUGCCUAAUUGCCACCAGUGGUGCCCCGUGUGAGACGGAGCGAUUAACGAGGUUUGACGGGUGUCAAGCCCCACAGAACUUAAGUGCUGCUGAAAGGAAGCAGGAGCCGGCUUCAGGCAUCUCUUCAAGAGAGUGUCGUUAGGUGACUCCCCUGGAGCAGGUGUUCUCCCCGGUGUGGUCCUGUUCUCGUACGCGACUGGGGCUGACACUCCGUCAAGUGAAGAGGUUUGUAUAUACACAAUGUGUAGACGUAAGGUGAGUGCGCCCCAGGUAGAUAGACCUGGAGGGGCCGUAGAACCGAUGGAAGUCCUGAAAUAUUGGGGGAGUUUUCAUCAGCCGACACGCUUACGCUCGUGGGAACGGCUCGCCCGUUCAGGGCGUAUGGCUGGUUGUUUGUUGUUUGCCUAUAAGCUCAUGGUCGAUCGGGAAAAGGAGUUGAGCCAAAAUCUCUAGGAUGCUCUGUAGGAAAAUGAGGAACUUAAGGGUGAGCCCUAGUUGCAAAGGCAGACUGUUAUGUCAGUUGUAAGUG